AGUGAACGCUGGCGGUAGGCCUAACACAUGCAAGUCGAACGGCAGCACAGUAAGAGCUUGCUCGUACGGGUGGCGAGUGGCGGACGGGUGAGGAAUACAUCGGAAUCUACUUUUUCGUGGGGGAUAACGUAGGGAAACUUACGCUAAUACCGCAUACGACCUACGGGUGAAAGCAGGGGAUCUUCGGACCUUGCGCGAUUGAAUGAGCCGAUGUCGGAUUAGCUAGUUGGCGGGGUAAAGCCCCACCAAGGCGCCGAUCCGUAGCUGGUCUGAGAGGAUGAUCAGCCACACUGGAACUGAGACACGGUCCAGACUCCUACGGGAGGCAGCAGUGGGGAAUAUUGGACAAUGGGCGCAAGCCUGAUCCAGCCAUACCGCGUGGGUGAAGAAGGCCUUCGGGUUGUAAAGCCCUUUUGUUGGGAAAGAAAAGCAGCAGGUUAAUACCCCGCUGUUCUGACGGUACCCAAAGAAUAAGCACCGGCUAACUUCGUG
rnacentral:rRNA from 1 species